rnacentral:tRNA from 1 species
GGUGCCUCUAGCUCAAUUGGCAGAGCACUGGUCUGUGGAACCAGGGGUUACGGGUUCAAGCCCCGUGAGGCACCCCCA